ensembl:lncRNA
CUGGAAUGCUGAAAAUUUUAGUGCACCUCAAGGAGGAUUUGCCAAGCACCAGAGACAGAGCUUUAUGGAUAGGCACAGCGUUGUCCCGUAGUGGGAAAAGUCUUGUCUGGAGACUCAGAAAGCCAGGCGUCGAGUCUUGCAGGCUGGCUCCCAUCUGCCCGAAGUGACACACACGCCCUCCUCGAACAGACCGGAACCAGAGCGCGUCUGGGGGAGCGGGCACGUUAGUUGUGACCCCCCCGGUUCAUUCAGACUGCUGUCGGGCAAGGAAAAUCACUUCGGGUGCGGAUGUGGUCACAAACAGAAGCCACACGCCUCAUCCCUGGUGAACUGAUAAUGCAUGCUGUCCGGCAAAAGGCACGAGCUCUGCAUCCCUUGCGAAAACUCCCUCGGCAUCAGCUGUCCCGGCUCCGGACGGGUGUUUUGCAAUCUGGAGCAAGAUUUGGAAGCAAAACCUAGCGCAGGCUCCCUGAUAGCCGGUGGCAAUUCCACACCGAAAGGAUUUCCUUACAUCUUUUGAUGGAGUGCUUUAACACUCAUCCGUGGCUCUGCUCUCCCAUUGCCGGUGUGGAGGGGGGAUGGGGGGACAGCCCCUCUUCUGCGUGACAGCCUGCACAAUGACAGGCUGUCUCUGUUGUCAUUUUGUGUGCAUGCUAUGUGGGUUUUUUUUUGUUUUCACCAGCAGCCUUAGGGGGAAAGUCACGUAUUUUACAUCUUUCCCAGCACAGAGAUGCUGCCUGGAUUGGAGAGACAUUGUCUGCAGAGACCAGCGACCCCUCCACCCUUCGGGCAUGAGCCAACACAAAAGAAGGCACAAACAUGGAAAAUACUCUUUUUUAUAAAAUAGGUAUUUUAGUGGAAGUAACAUGGCUGGGUAGUGCCCUGACACCUCCCUACCAGCACUGCUGUUUCUGCCAGCUGCUCUACAGGGUACAGGACACAUGUGCUGUUGGCUCCUCUGCUCCAAGUCCCUCUUCUUCCAGGCAGUACUAUACAUUCCAAGUUUUACUUUAAAAAAAAACCAAAAAAAAACUUUCUUCAGUCCUUCUCCUGACUGUAUGCACACAGGGAUGGAGCGUGUUUUGAAGCAGUGCUGGCACAGCUGGCUGCCAAGCUCUGGAUGUUGCUCGGACCUCGCUGACCGCUGUGUUAAACCAUCCAGCGUGGAGCAGGGCCAGCGCGGAGCCAGCUGAGCGCACGGCGGGCAGAGGAUGCGCUGCUGCAGCGGGUGAAGCGCUCCCCUGCAGCCCAGGCCCUCGCUCCAGAGGUGCCAUCCUCCGAGUCUUUACAGGAACGGCGAGACCGCCCGGCUCACAGGAUGGUUACUACUGCCCUGGCAAGGCCCUGGGCCCAGGGGCUUUGCUACAGCGCUGGUGGGUUUGCCCUCAGCCUCCGCUCCCCCUCCAGCUCCAAACAAGUUAGUGGCUCAGCCCUUAAUCUCUGGGAUGAAAUGUCCUGCUGACACGGCCGGUGCUGUCCCCGGGAGAGCUCCCGCUUAUCCCAGCCCUGCAGCUCUUCCCUUUGUUCCUAGCUGGCUUCCAGUCCCCGCGGCGGUGCCAGAGCCACGAUGUGUGCAGUGACAGGGAAGCGCAUUCGUGGAUGGCGGGAGAGCGUCACGGGCUGCCCUCCGUGCCAGUGCCGCUGUGCUGCGCCCACGGACUCGGGGAGGAAUCCAAACCGGGGAACAUGUCCCCAGUCUUACCCCCGGAGGCUGGCAAACCCCGCAUGGACUAAGUUGCAAAUAAGAAGCUGCCUCUGUGCAGCGCGGGCCUCGCCGUUUCCAGCACGAGGCAUUGCGUGCUCACCGGCUGGGACAUCACCAGCGGCUUCGCCCCGGUCCCUCCCGCUUCGCCCCUCUUUCUGGCCUCGAGCAGGCAGACAGCAGCAAGGCUGGCGCGGGUUUUGUCCCGCUCUGUGUUCUCUGGAAAAGGACCUUGUUUUCUCCCCGGUAUCCGCCCGAUUUCUGACAAUGCCCUGAGUGUCUGCGAGGACACGCACGUUAGCUCUGGGUCACGUCCGCCUGCAAGCAGAGCCUGGGCUGCGCUCCCCUUGCCGGCGGCCAGCCGAGGACAGUCCGGGCAGAGCCCCACGGCGAUGGAACAGCGCGAAACCAGCCCUUCCUCCUCUACGUGCGUGCGCUCACCCAGCGCCACGGGAACAUUUGGGUCGGGCCCAGCCGAGAGUAGUUAGAGGGGGAAAAAAACCGCAGCGGUCUGCGAGAGGUACUGAGCACUGAUCCGCGUCCUCACGGACCGCACGGGCCGGACCGGGCUGCGCGAGGAUGCUCCCAGCCCCGAGAGGCGGAGCGGAACGGAGCGGAACGGAGCGUCCCGCGAGCGCAGCCCCGCAGCACGGCGGCCUUUGCGCCCCGCUUUCCCCCCGCAAAGCUUGGAGACUCCGGCGGAGGGAUGCCGGUCAUCCCCGCCAACCCUGUGUCC